rnacentral:piRNA from 1 species
GCAUGAGGACAGGGUNUUGAUGCUCAGG